rnacentral:misc_RNA from 1 species
AAGUCGAAACAAGGUUUCCGUAGAACCUGCAGAAGGAUAUCAUUAACGCGUGAUACUCACGUACUAGCCCAAAGCGAACUGUUAUCUGUCCCGUGGUCGAAUAUUUGCAGUGGCAAGAGAAGAAUGGUGUGAGCCGCGUUCCGCGCGGUUCUGUCUCACUUGUCUAUGGUCGAUGAACUCCGUUAGCCCAUCCCACCUUGGGCUUUCCGAGUGCCCGUCACCAUAUUAUCAUGACUAAUCUGUAUGUCGAUGUGAAUUCCUGACUUCGGUCGGUCGAGUUCGUAUAGAUGCCGUAUAUUACAAAUACGAAACAACUCUUAGCAACGGAUAUCUUGCUUCUC